rnacentral:pre_miRNA from 1 species
ACCUCGAUCCCUGAGGGAUCUUGUUAGAGAGCAAAUUCUGAUUCAGUAUGUCCGGGUGGGGUCUGAGAGUCUGCAUUUCUAACAGGCUCUCAGGUGAUGCCCGU